CUUCCGGUUUCUGCCUGGGCAUCUCCGUGAUGGGAGCUCACAUCCUGAUCUUCAUUUUCAGUGGAUUCUCCUUCUUUUGAGGAGAAUGAAUGAUAUCCAGGAACACGUGGGAGCAGUAGAGGCAGCUCCUUGGCCCAGCCAAAAACAGGUGCCAGGUGGAAUUUGUCUGUGUUUGUGUAAAGCCAAUGCGGCAGGAGAACUGGAAGGUUCCCGGGAAGCAUUCGCUGCACUGGGCAUUUCAAACCACGGAACCUUUGGAAGAUGACAAGUGAAUGGACUGAAUUCUGAUGGCCAACGUCCUCUGUAAGUCCUGGAGCACAUCCUGGCCGGUCCCUUCACCAUUUUUGUCAUACAGGAGCUGCUUGAAUGCUUCGUUUUCAAUGAGGACCAUCAUGUUUUUGAGAAAGUAGCCUUCGCAAUAUGCUGAGAGUUCCGUGACGCCAAGAAACUGUGGAGAAUGGAGAGGAAAUGGGAGAUGGUUAUGCUUCUGAAAAGCACCUUUCAGAUUAUGCCUUCAGAGCUAAUAAUGGCACACACCUGCUAAGGAAGACUGGCUGCAGAAUGUCUGUGAUUCCCCAGCACACACCCAUAGGGUGUGACUUUGCAGCUCAUCCUGUCAAAGGGCUGGAGUCCAUUCCUCCAUUCCUUGGCCUCGUGCCAAUCAAAUCACUUCUCUGGGCCUCAGGUUUCCAAGUUACAAAAGCAAGGGGUGGCCUACAGGGGUAUUGUGCUCUGCUGUGCCAUUUAGGACAGGGAUGCAUGCAGUAAUUCUGUGGUCUCCAAGAGGCUUAUAAAGCUUGAGGAAGUUUAUCAGUGAGUGGACUAGUUAUCCCACAAAUGUCCAUAUAGAUGCACAAAUCCUGGAACUCUGGAACUGAGAGAGAUCUUAGCAAUCCUUUCAUUCUUAUUUUAUUGAGACAGAGUUUUACUCUGUUGCCCAGGCUGGAGCGCAGUGGCAUGAUCUUGGCUCACUGCAACCUCCACCUCCAGGGUUCAGGUGAUUCUUCUGCCUCAGCCUCCAAGGUGGGCCUCCAAAGUGUUGGGAUUACAGGUGUGAGCCACUGCCCCUGGCUUAGAAAUCUUUUCAUUCUUUCAACAUGAAUCCUGCUCUUAGAAUCACAGAGUACAAGGCUUCCUGGUACAGGUGAGGGAACUGAGGCUCAGAGUUGCCAAUCUGAUUCUGAGGACACAGUGGGCACCCCCCACCAGCACACCUGGCACUUGCUUUGUAGAUUAGUGUCAUUCAGCACAUGUUAGUGGAAAAUAAAAGCAUAAUAUAUACCUA